CCUCAUCUCGCCAUACUCGUUCCUGGUGCGAACACACCGGAUCACACGGACACACCUGCAAAAGCAACUGUUGUGUGACACAGAUAUAGAUUUUGAACCAGAAGAAGCUAAAAGUGCCACCAGAGGAGUUCUGGGAACAUAUUUACUGACUUUAAGAAGGUUUUUCAUCUUAAAUGCAAAAUAUUUUCUUUUCUGCAAUUUUGUCUUAACUGUUGUUCCCAGGGUGUUGCUCCUUCAGCAAAUAGCCAGGUUUAGAGUCUGUAUACCUCAGUUAACAAUUGAUCGAUUUCUAACGUGACUAUUAUAUAAAUAAUUCAGAACAAUUAAUCUGAUUAAUUGUUUCAGCCCUACUAUCAACUAUUACCAGUUGCAGAGUUCUGUCUUCAAUUAUCAAGACUCCUUUUUCUGUCAAUAUAGACAUUAUAUUGACAAUAUAUAAUGUCAAUACUUAUUGACAUUAUAUAUUGACAUAUAUUGACAUUAUAUAAGCCUUUGUCAAUUUUGGCAAAAAUUGACAUAGGCCAUUUACUUUUUUGCCUAAAUUAUCUUUUGGAAAUAAAAAGGGGGUGAUUUUUUUGGUUGUUGCCUGAGAUAUAACUGACCAGUGCUGUGGUCCUGCACGCAUGAUGGGGUUUCGAGGUGGGAACUGAUGUCAAGGUUUGAGUCUAUCAAAAAAAAAAAAAAAAAAA